rnacentral:tRNA from 1 species
ACGAGUAUAGUUAAGUGGAAUAACCUCUACCUUCCAAGUAGAUAUCAUCAGUUCGAACCUGAUUACUCGUA